rnacentral:pre_miRNA from 1 species
UAUUAAAAAUUUUAUUAAUUUUUAUUGUUAAAAAUUGACAUAACUGCCAGAAUAAUUGUUACGUGUACCUUAUAUUGAUGUGCAAUGACAAGUUUUUUAACAAUAGAAAUAGAUUAAAUUUUUAACA